UGGAAGUUAAAAAAUCGUAACAAGGUCUCCGUUGGUGAACCAGCGGAGGGAUCAUUGCUGGAACGCGCCCCGGCGCACCCAGAAACCCUUUGUGAACUUAUACCUAUACCGUUGCCUCGGCGCUGGCCGGCCCCCUCACCGGGGCCCCCUGGAGACAGGGAGCAGCCCGCCGGCGGCCAGACAAACUCUUGUUUCUUAGUGGAUCUCUGAGUAAAAAACAUAAUGAAUCAAAACUUUCAACAACGGAUCUCUUGGUUCUGGCAUCGAUGAAGAACGCAGCGAAAUGCGAUAAGUAAUGUGAAUUGCAGAAUUCAGUGAAUCAUCGAAUCUUUGAACGCACAUUGCGCCCUCUGGUAUUCCGGGGGGCAUGCCUGUUCGAGCGUCAUUUCACCCCUCAAGCCUGGCUUGGUGUUGGGGCACCGCCCGUAAAAGGGCGGGCCCUUAAAUCCAGCGGCGAGCCAGAGGAAACGGCCUUGCGUAGUAGUUCUAUCUCGCAUGUCCUGCCCUCAAGCGCCCUGCCGUUAAACCCCAACUUCUGAAAUUUGACCUCGGAUCAG
rnacentral:rRNA from 1 species